AGUGAACGCUGGCGGUAGGCCUAACACCUGCAAGUCGAACGGCAGCACAGUAAGAGCUUGCUCUUACGGGUGGCGAGUGGCGGACGGGUGAGGAAUACAUCGGAAUCUACUUUUUCGUGGGGGAUAACGGAGGGAAACUUACGCUAAUACCGCAUACGACCUACGGGUGAAAGCAGGGGAUCUUCGGACCUUGCGCGAUUGAAUGAGCCGAUGUCGGAUUAGCUAGUUGGCGGGGUAAAGGCCCACCAAGGCGACGAUCCGUAGCUGGUCUGAGAGGAUGAUCAGCCACACUGGAACUGAGACACGGUCCAGACUCCUACGGGAGGCAGCAGUGGGGAAUAUUGGACAAUGGGCGCAAGCCUGAUCCAGCCAUACCGCGUGGGUGAAGAAGGCCUUCGGGUUGUAAAGCCCUUUUGUUGGGAAAGAAAAGCAGCAGGUUAAUACCCCGCUGUUCUGACGGUACCCAAAGAAUAAGCACCGGCUAACUUCGUG
rnacentral:rRNA from 1 species